GUUUAGUGUGUGAGUAUACCUGACAGAACUGUUUGGCUGUCGUUUGUUAUUUCUUUGCGAAGUGCUUUCAUUCAAAAAAUAAAAGAUGAGCACUCAACACGCUGCGCCUUGGUCUGUUCACUACGACGCCUGUGACAAAGCCAGGUGGGAUAGAGUUAAAAAAGCCCUCCCACUAUGGCAUGGACCAACUAUCUGUCAUUUUGAAGGCAGGCCGUAGCAUCAAGUUUACAGUUUCGGCACCCAGGGGAAACAAUCCCACCACUGGGGAAGAGGUGGUGGGAAAUGAUCAGGAGGAGGCACAAGAACCUGAGCAUGAGGAGGCCGGACACCAUAGACAGGGGGAGAGCGGAGUGUGCCACACGUCCGAUGAUGGACACCUUCUUUACUUCUUCUGAGAAGCACUUGGAGGAGAUUGGGUUGAGGGAGAAACCCAGACAAUUAUAUAACUGCGAUGAUUCUGGGUUUUGUAGCGACCAGGCACAAAGCGCUGGCUCCCCGGGGUGCAAAACACGUGUACCAGCAGGCUCCAGGGACCAAGGAGCACAUCACAGUGCUGGCCUGCUUCAACGCAGCUGGGGAGGAUGUCCCCCUGUUUAUCAUCUACCCCAAGUGUUUCCCCGGUGGCCACUACACACUGGGAGCCCCCCCCCUAAGCUUUGUAUGGACAGUCAAACAGUGGCUACAUUGACAGGGACCUGUUCAGGAAGUGGUUUCAGCACUUUAUUCAUUAUGCAGUGAAGGAGCGCCCUCUCUUUCUCUUCAAUGGACACAAGCCACAUGGACCUGGAGGUGCUCGUGGCGGCACUAAGGGAAGGGGUUAUACUUCUUUGUCUUCCACCACACUGCACCUAUGUCCUGCAGCUGCUGGACGUGGCAUACUUUGGCCCUUUAAAGGCUGAGUUCUCCAAGGUAGCUGGAGACCUCAGCCAUUUUGACCACUCCUACAUUGUAAACAAAUCAGAAUUUGCCAGAGUAUUCCAGAUGAGACCAUUGACUCCAUCGCCUCUGCUGAACCUCCUGCUGGAACCAUUCCUGACAGCUGCAUCGCCAGUGCCUCCCAGUGUCCAACACCUGUAAGAGCAUCCGUAGCCCCCAGCUGCAGAUAAAAGGCCAGAAAAAAUGCAACGUGCCUACACUCCCUGCCACACCAAUACAAACACCAGCCUCCAAACCAUCGUCGGCAGUGUCGCCCACGACCACCAUGAUGCACCCCCCCCAUCUGUCACCACCAAUGCGGCCUCCUCUGGACCAACUGCCUCCUCCGUCUCCCCUGGUCACACCACCAUAGCAGCUUCGUAUGGUGUCCCUGCCCCCUGCAAUUUGAAUACAGCCACCUCCACAGUCCAUAGCACCAGCCCUCAAGGCAUGUCCACCUCCUCCAAAACUUCGGCAGCUUCCUCCAGGGCACAGAAAAGGAAGAGAAAAGCUCCACCUGCCACCUCUGUCACGCUACUCAUGGCAGCACUCUCGGGUACAUCAUAAUCUUUGUUUUCCUCUCUGUUGUAUCAAUUACUAUUGUUGCUGUAGUGCUUCUACAUUUUGCAAAACCAUGUUUAUCAAUUGAAUGUGUUUUUUAAUUACUUUUUUUCAAAUAAAAUAAGACACCACCUGCUGUGCUCACUGCAGGGAGUGUGAUCCACCUGCAAGCUCCCGCAGGAGUGUAGGUCCGAGGUGCCAUAGGUGUGCUGUGACUUCUGCCAGCACUGGUUCUACUGCAGGUGUGUGCUGUGAAUUCUGCCAGCACUGGUUCUACUGCAGGUGUGUGCAGUGACUUCUGCCAGCACUGGUUCUACUGCAGGUGUGUGCAGUGACUUCUGCCAGCACUGGUUCUACUGCAGGUGUGUGCAGUGACUUCUGCCAGC
rnacentral:lncRNA from 1 species